UGCGGUUGCAUUGAAAACCAAUUAAUCUGUUCUGGAGGUCAGAAAAAAAGUCAAAAUAAGCUAGCAUGGAAACCAACCCACAAUGCAGAACACACAAUAAAAGGCAUGCAAACGACGAAGCUCAGCUCCCUACCUUUCCACAGCUUGAGAAAUGCACCAAAAAGUCCCAAAACAACUGCAAACAAUUUCCAGAAUGGCUCCAAAAUUCGAUGCAAAAUCCGCUCCCACACCUCUACAC